ensembl:lncRNA
CCUGCUUGUGUGAGGAGGAGGCGGUGUUCUCAGCUUCUUCUGAAGAGAGGGAAAGACGGGUUUAAGAUGUUGAAAGCCAGAGACAUAGGAGAGCAUCAUUCUUUUGAGAUUUAUAACUCAAACCAACUUUGGAGUUGUCUGAUUUGGAGAGUCAUCAUUCUUGGUCUUCCCUCUUAAAGGAAUAGUUCACACAAAAAAAUAAUUUACUUGCCCUCAUGUCAUUCCAAACCUAUAAGACUUUUGUCUGUCUUUACAACACAAAUUAAUAUAUUUUUAAUUUUCUCAUAAUGUUUUGUUAAUCCAUUGAGAGUCUAGAUAAUCAGUAUUUUCAAGCCUCAUAAAUACAGAGUUAUUGUAGAAGUAAUCCAUUCCGAUAUUUAUUUAUAAUUAAAUAGUAAAUUAUAUGAUAGCGAACAUGUAUGUUCAAAAGAAAAUAUUGCUCUCCCAGACUAGCAAUGGAGGACAAAAAUUAAGAGAAUAUUAAAUAUAUUUAUUUGUGUUCCA